rnacentral:rRNA from 1 species
UACGGGGGGGCAAGCGUUGUUCGGAAUUACUGGGCGUAAAGGGCUCGUAGGUGGCCAACUAAGUCAGACGUGAAAUCCCUCAGCUUAACUGGGGAACUGCGUCUGAUACUGGAUGGCUUGAGUUUGGGAGAGGGAUGCGGAAUUCCAGGUGUAGCGGUGAAAUGCGUAGAUAUCUGGAGGAACACCGGUGGCGAAGGCGGCAUCCUGGACCGACACUGACGCUGAGGAGCGAAAGCCAGGGGAGCAAAGCGGG